UACGGAGGGUGCAAGCGUUAUCCGGAUUCACUGGGUUUAAAGGGUGCGUAGGUGGGUUGGUAAGUCAGUGGUGAAAUCCCGGAGCUUAACUUCGGAACUGCCUUUGAUACUACCAAUCUUGAAUACUGUGGAGGUAAGCGGAAUAUAUCAUGUAGCGGUGAAAUGCUUAGAUAUGAUAUAGAACACCGAUAGCGAAGGCAGCUUACUACGCAGUUAUUGACACUGAGGCACGAAAGCGUGGGGAUCAAACAGGAUUAGAUACCCUGGUAGUCCACGCCCUAAACUAUGGAUACUCGACAUCAGCGAUACACAGUUGGUGUCUGAGCGAAAGCAUUAAGUAUCCCACCUGGGAAGUACGUCCGCAAGGAUGAA
rnacentral:rRNA from 1 species